rnacentral:rRNA from 1 species
GUCCACGCCGUAAACUAUCAAUACUCGUUCUCGGCGAUAUACGGUCGGGGACUAAGCGAAAGUGAUAAGUAUUGCACCUGGGGAGUACGAUCGCAAGGUUGAAACUCAAAGGAAUUGACGGGGGCCCGCACAAGCGGUGGAGCAUGUGGUUUAAUUCGAUGAUACGCGAGGAACCUUACCAGGGCUUAAAUGUAGAGGGAAUAUUGUGGAAACAUGAUAGUCUUCGGACCGUCUACAAGGUGCUGCAUGGCUGUCGU